rnacentral:rRNA from 1 species
AUGCAUGCAAGUCGAGCGAAGCUUUUCAGUAGUUUACUACAGAAAAUGACUGAGCGGCGAACGGGUGAGUAACGCGUGAGCAAUCUACCUUAGUUACAGGGAUAGCCCGAGGAAACUCGGAUUAAUACCUGAUAUUCUUUAUAUUUCGCAUGAAAUUAAAAGGAAAGGUCAGCCGAACUAAGAUGAGCUCGCGUUCUAUCAGCUAGUUGGUGAGAUAAAAGCUCACCAAGGCUACGACGGAUAGCUGGUCUGAGAGGACGAUCAGCCACACUGGGACUGAGACACGGCCCAGACUCCUACGGGAGGCUGCAGCAGGGAAUAUUGUGCAAUGAACGAAAGUUUGACACAGCGACACCGCGUGUGGGAUGACGGAUCUAGGUUUGUAAACCACUUUCAGGAGGGAAGAAAAUGACGGUACCUCCACAAGAAGCCCCGGCCAACUACGUGCCAGCAGCCGCGGUAAUACGUAGGGGGCGAGCGUUGUCCGGAUUUAUUGGGCGUAAAGAGCUCGUAGGCGGUUCAACAAGUCGUUCGUGAAAGUUCAGGGCUCAACCCUGAAAUGUCGAUCGAUACUGUUGUGACUAGGAUACGGUAGAGGUGAGUGGAAUUCCGAGUGUAGCGGUGAAAUGCGUAGAUAUUCGGAGGAACACCAAUUGCGAAGGCAGCUCACUGGGCCGCUAUCGACGCUGAGGAGCGAAAGCUAGGGGAGCAAACAGGAUUAGAUACCCUGGUAGUCCUAGCUGUAAACGAUGGAUACUAGACGUAGA